AGACUGGUUAAUGAUAACAAUGCAUCAUAAAACCUUCAGAAGGAAAGAAUGUUGUGGACCAUUUUUUUUUGUGUGUGGCAGUUUUAAGUUAUUAGUUUUCAAAAUCAGU
ensembl:miRNA Mir703 microRNA 703